AUUGCCCAAUCCAAACCAUAUUUAACAAAGUAAUUAACUAAACCUAAUAUAAAUGCACUAAUUUUGGUAACCCUCGUAGAAGGUGAGAAGAUGCAAUGGUGGUUAUGGAACGAUAGCUCGGUAAUGCAGUGACAAUGGUUUGAGCUUUCACAGGUCCAAUAACCUAACCCUAGUUUCUUCUCGAGCUCACGAAUCUCCUCACCUUAUCAUUCUCACAGAGCCUUCAUCGUCGUGAUUCACAUCACUGAAUCACAUUUUGUGACUUGAUUUGUGCUCGCUAAAAACUUCUCCACCGAAUCCAUCGAUUACAUCCUCAUUUUGGCACCGUUUCACUGAUUCAAUCGUUGAAUCUUCCUUUUCCACCGAACACGCAACCUAAUUAACAUUUCUCACCCAACAAUCUUCAUAUUUUUCACUCUACUUCGAAUCUUUUCCGCUCCUGGAGUAUUAUCUCGAACCUAGGGUUUUGCAGGUGCAUUCCUCCUCUUUCGAGUUCUCUUGCUAACUUCUUUCAUCGAAUCAGUCGUUGUCUCGUUAUUCACUGUUGUUCUUACAUUCCGUUGCGUUUACUCGUGGAGGAAGCUUCAAAGAGUCCAAACUAUGUUCGAUUUGAUCCACCCGGUCUUCUUCACGUCUUC
rnacentral:lncRNA from 1 species